rnacentral:lncRNA from 1 species
CCUGAGCCACUGCACCUGGCCACCUUUCACCCUUCCAAAAAGCAGCCUGUACCUUCCUUAGGUGCAUGAAGGUGAAACAAUGCCCCGAACAGGCAGGAGGGAUGUGCUUUCCUCCCCAGUCACUGGGAGUCCUGGGAGGUAUCACUGCAUUACAAAUAUAACCCACACCAAAGGCCCCUUUUCUGUCGCACAGAAUCUGUCUCCAAGGAUUCUCUGGAAAUGGAAAGUGGGAACUUGUGGGCCUUUGAGAUGGAGCAUAGUAUAGUUGUCUUCCUUUGGGUUAUAGCCUUCAGAGAGGUGCUCCUUUUCACCUUGUACAGCGUGGGCUACAAGAGGCUCUUGCCACCUUUUGCAUGUGACCAGGGAGGGAAAUGGACACCCCUCACUAGUCAGAGGAUAUUACACAUCAAUGCCCCCCCACAUCAGUGGACGUUUCUUUUCACAACUUCUUUCAUUUCUUCCUGUUUCAGUGUCUAGAACUUCCUGUUGCCACACUCUGCUCCCUUGAACUCCUUUCUAUAGAAAUAAGGGUGUUCUUGUCCCUUCAUCCAUUCUUCAGCCCUAAAAAUUUCACAGCCUCAGUCAUUUGCUAAGGAUCUACCACUUUUUAGCUCUUUCAAGCUGCUGUGGUCACAGCAGAGGAUGAUGUAAGCUCCUCUGCUCCCCUGCAUGGGGCGGGAGGGGCCGGAGAAGUGAGGGAAGAGUGGGGGCCCAGGAUUUCUCCCUUGAUUAUAGAGAUGUGGUGGAGGAUGGGGAGGCAGACGGAAAGAAAAAUGUCCCAGCUCACCCUGGCACAGAGACAUUGUUCCACAAAGAAUGCUCACUAAAAAAAUGUUUAUACUAUCAUAUUAACUUGUAAAAGAGCAAGCUAUAACAUUUUAUGUUCAAUGUAAUACAUUUUUAUUAAGGCAUAACUCCCUAAAAAUGGCUGGGUAAAAGCCUGGAAAGAGAUACACAAAUGUUAGCGGUGGUUGCUUUUUGGACGGUGUGACCAUGGCGAUUAGAAAUAUUUUUUCCCAACUUUUCACAAGAAACAUAUGGCUUUUCUCAUUUUUUUAAAAAAACGGGGUGGGGGAAAGAGCAAUUAUUUUAAGCCAGAAUGUCCAAAAUGAUGCCGUCGAGUCCAACACAAUAUUUUAGACUUUGUUAAUUCCUUUCUGUACAGGAUAGAAGACAAAGGAGGGGCUAAUCUACUUUAGCCAGAUCUAUCAAGCAAAGCAGUGGGAGUUGUUCACAUAUAAGUUCUGUACCCCCUAAAGGAGGCCCAAGUUAGUUUCUUGGCCCAUGUAAUGAAUGCUUUCUCUCUAUUGACUUUCAUUUUUUAAUAUUCUCUGUCAUGUGACAUAACAAGUCAAUGCUCCAUAAAUAUUGGUCAGUUGAAUGAAUUAAAGAAAAUAUUGAUGCUUACAGGCAGAUAGUUUUCUAGAAAAAUCUGCUUAUUUUUCUGAAUAAUUAUGAAAAACGACAUGAUUUCUAUUUUAAAAAAAAGAGAUAAUGUAUCUAUUGUCGACGGACGGUGGAUGUGAGCCAUGUGUUGUGUUCAUACUCGGAGAAUGAAGGAAAACAUCAGAGACUGGGUAAGACAUAAGCAUGAUUUUGAAGAAAUCAAUUGAAAUUUUAUGGAAAGGAACGAGGAUGUUCCAGGCAUGUGGAUUAGCUUAUGCCAAGAUCUGAUGGCUAAAGAAAGGUGAGCAUAGAGGGUGGCCAGGUUGUUGACGGGAGCAGAUGGCGUGGGCUAGAAGGAUCCUGGCAGGGGUCACUGAUAGAUAGAGGAGGAGAGAAACCCGUAGACAAACAGAUUAGAUUUCCCUCUGAUGCUGGUAAAUGCGGAGCUUUUUGUAAGUUUUGGGGGAAAGUGUGUUCCCAAACACAUAUCCUGCUCUCUUGCUCCUCUUUCUAUGGCAAAGGAGGAGAAAUUUCUUCCAGAGACAUAAGCAGGAGGAAGCUGGAGCUCUCUCCUGAGUGAUUGUCAGUUGCAGAGGAGGUGAAUAUCACAGGACAAGCAAGCGUGGGGGAGAAGACUGCCUAGACAUUCUAAAGUGGCUGCUCUGGUUGGGUGGACUGAGGGUUCCCUCCUGCAAGUUCCUGCUGAGUGUGGCUGUCCUCAGGAAACCAAGUCCCCUCUGCGGCCCUACGUGAAGAGAUCAGGAGUUACUCAAAUCCCAGCCAUCGGAAGGAAUCUUAAGCCACAUAUGAUUUCAGAGAAAGUUUCUGCUUUAUAGGGCAAAGGGGUGCCUAGGACUGAGCCUUGUAUGUGCUAAAUGCCUUGUACUAUUGAAAUGAACGAAUAAAGAGGUUUGUGGACAGCAAGCUAUAGUUCAAACUCACAUAUCCUGAGAAAGACAAGUAAUGGAUUUUCCAUUUUCAUCUAUCAGAUGGGCAAAGACCAAAAAGUUUAGUAAUCCACUGUGUUGGAGAGGGUGUGAGAAAAUACACUACCUCAUACAUUGCUGGUAGGAGUGUAUUUUGUUUAAAAUAAUCCAUGUAGGGCAAUUUGGGAGCAUCUAUUUAAAAAUACAUAUGCACAUGGCCUUUGACCCAGCACUUCCGUUUCUAGGAAUUUAUAUUAUGGAUAUACUAGCAUAUGCAAAAUGACAUUAUGUACAAGGGUAUUUAUCAUCAUAUCAUUUAUAAUAGGGCAAAGUUAGGAAUAUUCUAAUUGUCCAACAAUUAGGGAACUUGUUAAAUAAAUGCUGCUGCAUCUUAAUGAAUUUUUUUAGCUAUACAAAAAAAACGAGGACGCUUCUUACAUGCCAACGUGAAGUGAUUUCCAAGAUGCUGAUAAAUGAAAGCAAUCAAAGUGGACAAUAUUGAGUAUGUAAUGCUAGCAUUUAAAAAAGGAGAGAGCAAAAAUGCAUUUGCUUGUAAUGCUUUUAUCUGAAAAUAUAUAAUUGAAACUGAUAACAUUGUUUGCCUCUGGGAAAGAGAACCAGAUGGUUGGAGGGACAAGGUUAGGUGGGAGACUUUGAUAAACAGUAUUUGUACCUUUUGAAUUUUAAACAGCGUAAAUGUUAUUAAAGUUAUAUACUCACAACAAACAAAUGUAUACACUUUGAU